rnacentral:rRNA from 1 species
GACGAACGCUGGCGGCGUGCUUAACACAUGCAAGUCGAGCGGUAAGGCCCUUUCGGGGGUACACGAGCGGCGAACGGGUGAGUAACACGUGGGUGGACCUGCCCUCAGCUCUGGGAUAAGCCUGGGAAACUGGGUCGUAAUACCGGAUAUGACUCCAUGACGGCAUGUUGUGGGGUGGAAAGCCUUGUGCGGCUGAGGAUGGGCCCGCGGCCUAUCAGCUUGUUGGUGGGGUGAUGGCCUACCAAGGCGACGACGGGUAGCCGGCCUGAGAGGGCGACCGGCCACACUGGGACUGAGACACGGCCCAGACUCCUACGGGAGGCAGCAGUGGGGAAUCUUGCGCAAUGGGCGAAAGCC